GAUGAACGCUGGCGGCGUGCCUAAUACAUGCAAGUCGAGCGAACAGACGAGGAGCUUGCUCCUCUGACGUUAGCGGCGGACGGGUGAGUAACACGUGGAUAACCUACCUAUAAGACUGGGAUAACUUCGGGAAACCGGAGCUAAUACCGGAUAAUAUAUAGAACCGCAUGGUUCAAUAGUGAAAGACGGUUUUGCUGUCACUUAUAGAUGGAUCCGCGCCGCAUUAGCUAGUUGGUAAGGUAACGGCUUACCAAGGCGACGAUGCGUAGCCGACCUGAGAGGUUGAUCGGCACCACUGGAACUGAGACACGGUCCAGACUCCUACGGGAGGCAGCAGUAGGGAAUCUUCCGCAAUGGGCGAAAGCCUGACGGAGCAACGCCGCGUGAGUGAUGAAGGUCUUCGGAUCGUAAAACUCUGUUAUUGGGGAAAAACAAAUGUGUAAGUAACUAUGCACGUCUUGACGGUACCUAAUCAGAAGGCCACGGCUACCUACUU
rnacentral:rRNA from 1 species